GUUUGAAUUGAAAAGCAGUGGCAGCAAAGAUAGAAAAAAUACACUUUUAAGAGUGCUUUCUGAGACAUAACUUAAAUUUGGCAUCUAACUGGAUGUCGAUGAUGAAAGAAAGGCAAAUGGGCUUGUUCAAGCUUCUGAAUAGGAGACUGGUUGGAGGGUUGCACCCUUAUUGAGAUUUAGAUUAUAGAAAGCUAAUAUUUUUAAAGAAAUUACAUUUGAGGCCCCUGCAUACAUUGAAGCAAAGACUGCUAUAGACUGUGUGAUAUUUUGGUAUGUAGACUGGAAAAGACAAACACAAAGUCCGGCAUACAGGCAUUUAGUUUGUUUACUGCCUCUGAGCACCCUGUCUCAGGGAGCACCAUUCACAUCAUGGAUAUAGGUGCUGGAGGCUCCUAGAGCAGUGAUGGGGGGCUGUCUCCUAUACACAUCCCUCCCUCACACACACAACAGGCCAGGGACUCACCCAGGAGAGCAUGCAUUCAUGCCCAAACCAACAUCACAUGUGCGUGUGGCUACACCCUCUCCCAGUAGUGCUCAGGGUCCCCCUUGGGGUGCUUCUUUUGCCACCUUCCAUUCUCUUUCAGAGCUCAGAUUCUCGACUCUCAUUCCUUGCGACACUGAACCUGAUGUUGUCACCUCACCUAUCUGCAUGAAACAGUGUAUGAAGUAUGCAUACUGCUAGAGGUCCCACUGAAGCUGAAUGACUGUGCAGGUUGAUACACUGGACAUUUUCGGUGAAACCUGUGUGAACAGACAACUGGAGGGUCAGAUGAUUUAUCCUCUCCCCAGUACCUUGGCACAAGCCUAGGCUACAGAAUGAGAUGCACGUAAGAAGUCUGUGACCUGGACCAGAGCAGCCCAGCUGAACACAUGCUGGAUUGGAAGAACCACCUUUGACCUGAAGACCUGUGAGUGAGAAUAAAUGCUGUUUGAGAAAGGAGUUUGGAGACAGAAAGACGGAAGAGUUGAUAUUCCGCUCACAGAUGUCAAUUUUCAAAGAAAUUUCUGCCCAUUAUGGAUGCACCACAAAUACUAAAGUCUAUGCAAUAUAUAUUUUGAAAAGAAUUUUUUUCGUGAAACUGUAAUUUUCGUUCAUAAGAGUAUAUUUCCUGACUUAGCAUUUUAUUGACUAGAUUAAAAUUUUGUUCCCCAAAGUAAGUGUGUGUGUGUGUGUGUGUGUGUGUGUGCACGCACACGUGUGUGUGCAUUCCUGAGGAUUAUUCUAAGGCUGAACUCCUUCAUAGAAAUGGAAUUUUUCUCUCUAUGCUCACAUUUUAAAACAGCUCACACAAGCCAGGCAGAAACUGCCAACCCCUUGGUUUCUAAUUCUUUGUGCUAGUUCUAUUAGAAGGGGCAAGUGUAAUCUGACAAUGGGAAACAAUACACCCUUUCUCAUAUUCUUUAUCAACAUACAUAAACUGGAAGAAAGAAAAAGAAAGAGAGGGGUACAGAGGGAGGAAAGGAGGAAGAAAAAAGAUAGGAGGGGAAGUAGGAAGAGAGGAGAAGGGGACUGUAGUGGGGGAAAGAGAGGAGAGACAGAAUCUUUCCACUAAAGUUAGCAUCUGAGAGAGAGGCCCACGGAAUUGAUUUUUUUUUUUUUAUCCCUUUGGCAAACCAGCAUUUGGUCUUUGCUUUGGUUAUCCUGAGAUAGUGCUUUGUUUACCUGAGCUAGCUGGCCAUCUCAGCUGUGACAAUUUAAAAUUAGGCCACUAUUUAUAAUUCAAGCUAUGUGUAAACAAAACAAAACACAAUACAACCAAUGAAGGAGGUUUGUUUGUUUGUUUUUUUAAAAGGUAGGGGCAUUUUGUAAAUCAGACAGAGAUAGCUUUCUUGAAUAAAAUGACAUUUUUAGUUAUUUCUUUGUCUUGAACUUUCUCCUGAGACACCUUCUGGCUCACUAGUCACGAGGAACUGAAGAGGAACUGAAGGAAUUCUAAACAUCCCCAAAGCCUCUAGUGAUUCUCCAGAUGUGUCUUUUCAAGAGGCUGGCGACUUGUAGGGAGGGUGGAUAUACCUUAAUUAUUCAGUCACUUUUAACGUUUUACCUAAACUAUUUGUCAAAUAAGUAGUUUUUGCAUUGCUUUAACUGUAUACAGCCAUCAUUUGAUUAUACAUUCUAUCAAAGAUUGAUUGCCUGAUUUCAGGUUUAAUUUUAAGAUUUAAAUGACUGACUCCUUAGCUUGCUCAGUUGUAUUCUUUGUCUCUGAUUACUUACUCCAUAGAACACUGCUUACCUUUAAAUAAAAUGUAUUAAACUCCUUUGUUUUCAGAAUCUCUAAUAUUCAUGCCUAUUGGGGAUUCAUACCCUAAUAACUUGGGCUACUAGUCUGUCAUAAAAUAUAAACUCCAGCCAUAUUAAAUAUGGUAGACUUGCCCUAAAAGUCAGAUUUAUACCUUCAAUAUACCAUGGAAUUUGUAAUACAAAUAAAUUCCUUUUUUUAUAUUGGUUUUAAAAUAAGAAAUUGUAGUCUCUUGAGUUCUAGAGUUUCUGUAAGAACAACAGAAGGAAUGCUCAGCUAAUGUUUAGUACCCAUAUGCUUCAUUAAAGUGACCAGAUGUCCUGCAUUUGUCAAGGGAAAAGGGGAAUUGUUUUCUUCUCUCUCAAAUAUCUCCUUCAAAAAGUCUAUCAUGGAUACAUUUUGUGCCUUCACUGCCCUUUUUAAAUAAUUAUUAUUCAUGCCUUACUAUAAGAACAUUACAACUGGUAACAAACUGCUUUUAAACUUGGGGUUUCAGAUUUUCUAAAG
rnacentral:lncRNA from 1 species